GGGUGGCGGUAUAUAUUGCGGAGCACUCUGAUGACUAGAUUUAGAGACAGGGUGAGGAUUGCUCGCUGGCCUAGCGAGAUUUUGUGUAUCUUGAUUUUUUUGACUAUUCUCGCACCAAACUGGUGUGACUGCCCGUUUGUAUAUAUAUAUAUAUAUAUAUGUAUAUAUAUAUAUGUAUAUAUAUAUAUGUAUAUAUAUAUGUAUA
rnacentral:lncRNA from 1 species